rnacentral:misc_RNA from 1 species
AAGUCGUAACAAGGUUUCCGUAGGUGAACCUGCGGAAGGAUCAUUAACGAAUAACUAUGGCGUUGGUUGUAGCUGGCUCCUCGGAGCAAUGUGCACGCCCGCCAUUUUUAUCUUUCCACCUGUGCACCGACUGUAGGUCUGGAUACCUCUCGCCUCCGGGCGGAUGCGAGGGUUGCUCGUAAGGGCUUCCCUUGAACUUCCAGGCUCUACGUCUUUUUACACACCCCAAUAGUAUGAUGCAGAAUGUAGUCAAUGGGCUUCUCAAGCCUAUAAAACACUAUACAACUUUCAGCAACGGAUCUCUUGGCUCUC